AACGCGGCGGCGUGCCUAAUACAUGCAAGUCGAACGCUUCUUUCCUCCCGAGUGCUUGCACUCAAUUGGAAAGAGGAGUGGCGGAUGGGUGAGUAACACGUGGGUAACCUACCCAUCAGAGGGGGAUAACACUUGGAAACAGGUGCUAAUACCGCAUAACAGUUUAUGCCGCAUGGCAUAAGAGUGAAAGGCGCUUUCGGGUGUCGCUGAUGGAUGGACCCGCGGUGCAUUAGCUAGUUGGUGAGGUAACGGCUCACCAAGGCCACGAUGCAUAGCCGACCUGAGAGGGUGAUCGGCCACACUGGGACUGAGACACGGCCCAGACUCCUACGGGAGGCAGCAGUAGGGAAUCUUCGGCAAUGGACGAAAGUCUGACCGAGCAACGCCGCGUGAGUGAAGAAGGUUUUCGGAUCGUAAAACUCUGUUGUUAGAGAAGAACAAGGACGUUAGUAACUGAAC
rnacentral:rRNA from 1 species